AAUCCAUAGGUUAAUGAGGCGAACCGGGGGAACUGAAACAUCUAAGUACCCCGAGGAAAAGAAAUCAACCGAGAUUCCCCCAGUAGCGGCGAGCGAACGGGGAGGAGCCCAGAGCCUGAAUCAGCAUGUGUGUUAGUGGAAGCGUCUGGAAAGGCGCGCGAUACAGGGUGACAGCCCCGUACACAAAAGCGCAUGUGCUGUGAGCUCGAUGAGUAGGGCGGGACACGUGGUAUCCUGUCUGAAUAUGGGGGGACCAUCCUCCAAGGCUAAAUACUCCUGACUGACCGAUAGUGAACCAGUACCGUGAGGGAAAGGCGAAAAGAACCCCGGCGAGGGGAGUGAAAAAGAACCUGAAACCGUGUACGUACAAGCAGUGGGAGCACCCUUUGGGUGUGACUGCGUACCUUUUGUAUAAUGGGUCAGCGACUUAUAUUCUGUAGCAAGGUUAACCGAAUAGGGGAGCCGGAGGGAAACCGAGUCUUAACCGGGCGUUAAGUUGCAGGGUAUAGACCCGAAACCCGGUGAUCUAGCCAUGGGCAGGUUGAAGG
rnacentral:rRNA from 4 species